GGGAUACCAUGUUUGAGGAAAAGUAUGAGAUAAAGAGUAAUCUCUCUCUGGAACAUGAAGAACAGGAUGGAAAGGAUUGCAGGUACUAAGAAUUUGUCAAAGUGAAUACCUGCAGACAAGGUCAAUAUUUCCCUCAGAAAACAAUUUGGGAUUAUUCCAACAACCUAACUGAGGCCGGAGGGGCUUUCGUGCUCUCGCAAGAGGCGGGAAAGAGCGCGGGGCUUGAGAGAUGGCGGACGACGUAGACCAGGCGCUGUUGUAAGCCUUCGUUGAUGUCAUUUAAGCCUCUCAAAAACAGUGUUAGCAACAAACCACCAACACUGUAGAAGAGCCCCUGGAUCUCAUCAGGCUCAGCCUGGAUGAACGAAUCUAUGUGAAAAUGAGAAACGACAGAGCGCUUCGAGGCAGGUUACAUGCUUAUGAUCAACAUUUAAAUAUGAUAUUGGGAGAUGUGAAAGAAACUGUGACAACUAUAGAAAUUGAUGAAGAAACAUAUGAAGAGAUAUAUAAAUCAACAAAACGGAAUAUUCCGAUGCUCUUUGUCCGGGGAGACGGUGUUGUGCUAGUUGCCCCGCCCUUGAGAGUUGGCUGAAACAAAGAAUUUAUCCUGUGUGGAAAAUAGAUUUUGUAUGAUUGCCUCUUUAAAUGUAGAAGAUAUUCAAAAGAGAAACCGGCGUACAUUUUGAUACUAAGACAUAACCAAGAUUUCUUCCACACCUGAAAUAAGUUGAUUUGCAGAUAACUCACAAAUUCUUCAGCUAAAUGGCAUUUUUAUUUUCCUCCAACCCUUCCAAUAAAUGUGAUCACCAAGAUGCAGAACUUUUUCAGGAGUUGAUUUGCUCCAUUGUUUUUUUCGGACAAUUUCU